rnacentral:rRNA from 1 species
GAUAAACGCUAGCGGCAGGCUUAAUACAUGCAAGUCGUGGGGCAGCAGGUUUGUAGCGAUACAGAUGCUGGCGACCGGCAAACGGGUGCGGAACACGUACAGAACCUUCCUUGAGCGGGGAAUAGCCCAGAGAAAUUUGGAUUAAUACCCCAUAGUAUAAUGAAGUGGCAUCACUUUAUUAUUAAAGAUUUAUCACUCGAAGAUGGCUGUGCGGCUGAUUAGGUAGUUGGCGGGGUAAAGGCCCACCAAGCCUGCGAUCAGUAACUGGUGUGAGAGCACGACCAGUCACACGGGACUGAGAUACGGCCCAGACUCCUACGGGAGGCAGCAGUGGGGAAUAUUGCACAAUGGGCGCAAGCCUGAUGCAGCGACGCCGCGUGAGGGAUGACGGCCUUCGGGUUGUAAACCGUCUUUCAAUAGGACGAAGCGCAAGUGACGGUACCUAUAG